GUGCAAAGGUGCGCCCCCUGUCGUCAACAACGAGACGCUCCGCUAGGUUAGCAAAGACGAAGAGGAGGGAGAUAUAACGACUCACCCCACACUAUCAAGUCUGUCGUGGAAGUGCCGUCCUGUACCUGCCUGACUAGGUUCCUCUGACACUCGCCCGAGUCCCCUUGGACACCCGUCUCACCAGCACCACGACUCGGAAAGGGUACUCGUAAGGGUACUCGAGGUAUAACGUUCACUAUGUUUCGCAGUGGUUCCUGUGCCAAUGAGCUCGUGCCGAGGAGCCAACAAGCACCGACCCCAGUUCACAACCUACGCAAAUCGAAGAUCACCAUGAUGUUUGCGGCUGUCGUCCUGCAAUGGCAAGACUCGCCAUGGCGGUCAUCGCGUUCAGCGGCAACUCCACCGGUCCUGCGGUGGGCCCGAAACUCAUAAAGGCAGCAGCGAAUGGAGCAGCAAAAAAUGGCGCGAAGUAAGAUAAUCAAACCUUCAUCACCAGCGCAUAACCUGCGGAAAUUCAAGGUCAUCGCGAUGGUUGCCGCGUUCGUCCUAGUGAGCGCCAUCUUCGUAAUAUUGGACGUCGUCUUGAGACCACAAUAUCUCCCAAACAAGUCGACUUCAACCUCCAUUCUCUUCCUCUGCGAAUAAAAAUGUUGAAAACCUCGG